rnacentral:rRNA from 1 species
UAUUUCAAAAAGCGGAGGAAAAGAAACCAACAGGGAUUGCCCUAGUAACGGCGAGUGAAGCGGCAACAGCUCAAAUUUGAAAGCUAGCCUUCGGGUUCGCAUUGUAAUUUGUAGAGGAUGCUUUGGGUAAAACGCCAGUCUAAGUUCCUUGGAACAGGACGUCAUAGAGGGUGAGAAUCCCGUAUGUGACUGGAAAUGUUAACCUAUGUAAAGCUCCUUCGACGAGUCGAGUUGUUUGGGAAUGCAGCUCUAAAUGGGAGGUAAAUUUCUUCUAAAGCUAAAUAUUGGCGAGAGACCGAUAGCGCACAAGUAGAGUGAUCGAAAGAUGAAAAGCACUUUGGAAAGAGAGUUAAAAAGCACGUGAAAUUGUUGAAAGGGAAGCGCUUGCAAUCAGACUUGUUUAAACUGUUCGGCCGGUCUUCUGACCGGUUUACUCAGUUUGGACAGGCCAGCAUCAGUUUCGGCGGCCGGAUAAAGGCUCUGGGAAUGUGGCCUCCACUUCGGUGGAGGUGUUAUAGCCCAGUGUGUAAUACGGCCAGCCGGGACUGAGGUCCGCGCUUCGGCUAGGAUGCUGGCGUAAUGGUUGUAAGCGACCCGUCUUGACAAA